rnacentral:rRNA from 1 species
UACGUAGGGGGCAAGCGUUGUCCGGAAUCAUUGGGCGUAAAGCGCGUGUAGGCGGCUCGAUAAGUCCGCUCUGAAAGCCCGGGGCUCAACCCCGGGAGGCGGGCGGAAACUGUCGGGCUAGAGUCCGGAAGAGGCGAGUGGAAUUCCCGGUGUAGCGGUGAAAUGCGUAGAUAUCAGGAGGAACACCUGCGGUGUAGACGGCUUACUGGACCAUAACUGACGCUGAGGCACGAAAGCGUGGGUAGCAAACAGG